rnacentral:rRNA from 1 species
AAUAUUGGACAAUGGGGGCAACCCUGAUCCAGCCAUGCCGCGUGUGUGAAGAAGGUCUUCGGAUUGUAAAGCACUUUAAGUUGGGAGGAAGGGCUUUAGGCUAAUACCCUGAAGUUUUGACGUUACCAACAGAAUAAGCACCGGCUAACUCUGUGCCAGCAGCCGCGGUAAUACAGAGGGUGCAAGCGUUAAUCGGAAUUACUGGGCGUAAAGGGGGCGAUGGUGGUUCAAGAAAGUGGGGUGAAAACCCCGGGGUUAAACUGGGAAAUGCUUUCAUAACUGCUGAGCUAGAGUACGGUAGAGGGUAGUGGGAUUUCCUGUGUAGCGGUGAAAUGCGUAGAUAUAGGAAGGAACACCAGUGGCGAAGGCGACUACCUGGACUGAUACUGACACUGAGGUGCGAAAGCGUGGGGAGCAAACA